rnacentral:rRNA from 1 species
AGUGAACGCUGGCGGUAGGCCUAACACAUGCAAGUCGAACGGCAGCACAGGAGAGCUUGCUCUCUGGGUGGCGAGUGGCGGACGGGUGAGGAAUACAUCGGAAUCUACUUUUUCGUGGGGGAUAACGUAGGGAAACUUACGCUAAUACCGCAUACGACCUACGGGUGAAAGCAGGGGACCUUCGGGCCUGGCGCGAUUGAAUGAGCCGAUGUCGGAUUAGCUAGUUGGCGGGGUAAAGGCCCACCAAGGCAACGAUCCGUAGCUGGUCUGAGAGGAUGAUCAGCCACACUGGAACUGAGACACGGUCCAGACUCCUACGGGAGGCAGCAGUGGGGAAUAUUGGACAAUGGGCGCAAGCCUGAUCCAGCCAUACCGCGUGGGUGAAGAAGGCCUUCGGGUUGUAAAGCCCUUUUGUUGGGAAAGAAAUCCAGCCGGUUAAUACCUGGUUGGGAUGACGGUACCCAAAGAAUAAGCACCGGCUAACUUCGUGCCAGCCGCCGCCGUAA